GUUAGCUCAGUUGGUAGAGCGCGCGACUCUUAAUCGCGUGGUCGUGGGUUCGAGCCCCACA
rnacentral:tRNA from 1 species